CGAAGCUAAGCGGCGCUGGUGAAGCGGCUCAUCAGGUCUAUCAGGAAACCUGAGAAUUGGAGUGAGAAUCCCAGUGUGGAAAAUCAGGAAAGAGGCUGGUAUGAGCGACAGAGAAGUCAUUCAGGAAAGAGGUUAUUGAAUUCAUUGGAGAAUGAAUGCUGUUCUGAAUUUGGUAGAGGGAAUGUAAGAAAUUACCAAUGUACUUUUAGAGUUUUUUCAAGCAAGAAUUCCAAAGGAUUUCAAGGUCUUUAUGGAAUCAAGCUUUGGACUUUAUCAUAAAAAUGGAAAUAAUUAGGAAUGAUUCUGUGCAGUCUCGGUGCUGUGAAAGGAGAAUAAAAACGUGAGACUCCAGUUCACUCUGCCAGAAGGAAAAAAAUAAGCUGAAAGCUGAGUCAUGCAAGAAGCUGCCUUUUCUUCUGUUCCUAAGCAGAUAGCUACAGAUAAAAGGUUAAAUAUCUCCAUAGGUAGCUACUCUAUGUUCACCCUAUUUCAUGUAAAGUGCUGAUUUGCUGCACACAAGAUGAAUGCAUCAUUCACCAUUCCCCUACCUGCGCCUUUUCUCCUGCAACUUAGAUUACUAUACCCUCGCUCUUACCUCUCCAACCCACUUUUCCCCUUUAAAUACUGAAGCUCUCAAAGUCAUCCUUGGAUAAAGGAACAGACCAGAGACUGUUUCUGUGAUUCUGUGUUCUUUUCUUCCAGGUAUGUCCUUAACCUUGGCAAAAUCAACUUCUAAAUUGAAUGAGACCUGUCUGAGAUACUUUUUGGUUUACAGUCCUUAUUUUUCUCUAGAUAGUAUUUUCAAAUUAGCAUUUCCCCCAGAAUUGGUAUUUAUACCUCUGGUUGUACAAGAUGAAUUUUUAAAAAUAAUUACAUGUUUAUUUUAUUAUAAUAAAUACGAAUAAUACAAGAAAUUCUCAAUUCACAGAUGUUAACAUGUUGCUUAGAAUAAAGCUAAGUUCAAAACUGAUUUUAA
rnacentral:lncRNA from 1 species